ACCGGGAUGGACAUACCUCUGGUGUACCAGUUGUCGUGCCAACGGCAUAGCUGGGUAGCUAUGUAUGGACGGGAUAAGUGCUGAAAGCAUCUAAGCAUGAAGCCCCCCUCAAGAUGAGAUUUCCCAUGGCGCAAGCUAGUAAGAUCCCUGAAAGAUGAUCAGGUUGAUAGGUCAGUGGUGGAAGCAUGGUGACAUGUGGAGCUGACUGAUACUAAUAGAGCGAGGACUUAACCAAC
rnacentral:rRNA from 1 species